rnacentral:misc_RNA from 1 species
CUGAGAACUUGCCCUUAAGGGGUAGAUCUCCCACCCUCUGUUUACAUACUCUGUUGCUUUGGCAGGCCAGCUUUGGCUGCUGGCUUCUUGCUAGCUUGUGCCUGCCAAAGAGCCAACAUCCUGAUUAAUUAUGCUGUCUGAGUACUACAAAAUAUAUAAA